UCUAGUCCUGUCUUCUCAAGCCUAGUACUAGGAGGUCCAGAUUCACCAAAUCCCGAACGAGUUGAUCCUUUUAUCAACGAUUUAGUCCAAAACGCUUCUUUUGUAUGACAAUAACACCCAUCAUGCGAGAUAUGAUUUUUUGUUCGUUCAAUUUCCAUUCUUCUUUUUAAUUUCAUCGAAUCGGGGAGUGAAGAGAAAACCGAGAAAUCUAAUCUCGUCGUGUCAAUGGAAGUUCAAUCUCCAAACCUAAAUAUGGUAAUCAAACAUACACUCCGUUCAUCUACAAAAAUUGAAAUCGUCAUCAUCAAUUCAUCUUCUUGAGGAUUAACUCAAAAUUGGGAGGAAAAAAUGAUGAGAUUUAGUUUAAGGCGAUUUAAAAGAAACCUGAAGCGAUUGUUAUCAAUGGGGAUAUGAGAGUUUCAGUUGUAUAAUAGCAUGACAAGGAAAAAAGUAAUCUUUAUACAUAAAGAAACAAGAAAAGUUGGGAUGUUUGUGGGCAGUUUUUUGACUAGAAACCUCGUUCAGCUCAUCUCCCUCGGUAAUAUGGUUUGUAUAGACCAUUUGAUAUAACCUUUGUCCUGUUUAGGUUAUGUUAAAUGUGAUGUUUCCUUUGAUUGAUUUGAUAGUGGAAACAUAAGACUUAGGUACUCCUAUUGUCAUGUAGGUGAACAUAUUAUCAAACAAGGGUUACUAUGAAGGAUUUUUCUUGUCGUUCUCCACAUGUAAGAAAUUUCAUUUGUAUUCUAUUGUGAAAUCUAA